rnacentral:rRNA from 1 species
UACGUAGGGUGCGAGCGUUGUCCGGAAUUAUUGGGCGUAAAGGGCUCGUAGGCGGUUUGUCGCGUCGGGAGUGAAAACCUUGGGCUUAACUCAGGGCUUGCUUUCGAUACGGGCAGACUAGAGGUAUGCAGGGGAGAACGGAAUUCCUGGUGUAGCGGUGAAAUGCGCAGAUAUCAGGAGGAACACCGGUGGCGAAGGCGGUUCUCUGGGCAUGAUCUGACGCUGAGGAGCGAAAGUGUAGGGAGCGAACAGG